UACAGGGGGGGCAAGCGUUGUCCGGAAUUACUGGGCGUACAGCGCGCGCAGGCGGUCCACUACGUGCCGUGUGACAGACGUCGGCUUAACCGACGUAGGCCAGGGUACACGGGUGAACUUGAGGCAGAGAGAGGGAUGUGGAAUACCCGGUGGAGCGGUAAAAUGCGUAGAGAUCGGGUGGAACACCAGGGGCGAAGGCGGCAUCCUGGCUCUGUACUGACGCUGAGGCGCGAGAGCGUGGGGAGCAACCGG
rnacentral:rRNA from 1 species